CAGGGUAACUCUUAUACAACUCAUCCGGGCCAGAAACACUACAAGGAUGAUCAACAACCUCUAAAGCUGGCAUUACUUUACCACCCGCUAAAUCAUUGCCAAGAAUGAACGAAACUCCCUUAAUAGGAAGAGAAGGGCGAACAGCGACCAACACAAACCCGAUUGCAGAGACACCGGCUUCACACGGGAAGGCUGGGACUGAACAGAAGGAGUUUUAUCUGACCGCACGGAAGUAUACACGCUCUUGUGCGUAAGCACAAACUCAUCCGCAAACACCGCUGCUUGCGACAACGAAACAACUUUUUGUUCGUUCAGGUACAAGCUCGUAAGCACGGAGAAUGGCUGAUUUAACGGUCUCGUAUUGUAGACUCUCCUCUAAGGACAACGUUGAACAAACCUCCUGUGCCUUGCCAACCAAUUUGCACUGGAGAAGAAGGGACCAAACAUCUUUCGGCCAACAAAAUGAGGAUGCGACACGCUCGAAAGCGCUAAAAUACGUAUCAACCUCAGUCUCCCUAAACGGAGGCACUAACGAAAUAUGCUUGCUAACGUCAAACAUGGGUGAGGAUGGAUCAACAACUUGAGCAGAAACAGAAGACUGCACAGUAAUUCUAGCAGAACUCUUAGAGUCCAACUCGAGCUGUCGCAGCUUCACCUCUUUCUCAGCCU